GACGUAGGGCGCGAGCGUUGUCCGGAUUUAUUGGGCGUAAAGAGCUCGUAGGCGGCUUGUUGCGUCGACUGUGAAAACCUGCGGCUCAACCGUGUGGUCUGCAGUCGAUACGGGCAGGCUGGAGUUCGGUAGGGGAGACUGGAAUUCCUGGUGUAGCGGUGAAAUGCGCAGAUAUCAGGAGGAACACCGGUGGCGAAAGGGCGGGGU
rnacentral:rRNA from 1 species